AGUUGCGAACGGGUGAGUAACGCGUAGGUAACCUGGCUCAUAGCGGGGGAUAACUAUUGGAAACGAUAGCUAAUACCGCAUAACAGUAUUUACCGCAUGGUAGAUACUUGAAAGAAGCAAGUGCUUCACUAUGAGAUGGACCUGCGUUGUAUUAGCUAGUUGGUGAGGUAAUAGCUCACCAAGGCGACGAUACAUAGCCGACCUGAGAGGGUGAUCGGCCACACUGGGACUGAGACACGGCCCAGACUCCUACGGGAGGCAGCAGUAGGGAAUCUUCGGCAAUGGGGGCAACCCUGACCGAACAACGCCGCGUGAGUGAAGAAGGUUUUCGGAUCGUAAAGCUCUGUUGUAAGGGAAGAAUGUGUGUGGGAGUGGAAAGUCCACAUAAUGACGGUAUCUUACCAGAAAGGGACGGCUAACUACGUGCCAGCAGCCGCGGUAAUACGUAGGUCCCGAGCGUUGUCCGGAUUUAUUGGGCGUAAAGCGAGCGCAGGCGGUUAUAUAAGUCUGAAGUCAAAGGCAUUGGCUCAACCAAUGUACGCUUUGGAAACUGUAGAACUUGAGUGCAGAAGGGGAGAGUGGAAUUCCAUGUGUAGCGGUGAAAUGCGUAGAUAUAUGGAGGAACACCGGUGGCGAAAGCGGCUCUCUGGUCUGUAACUGACGCUGAGGCUCGAAAGCGUGGGUAGCGAACAGGAUUAGAUACCCUGGUAGUCCACGCCGUAAACGAUGAGUGCUAGGUGU
rnacentral:rRNA from 1 species